GAGAAUGUAGCUCAGUGGUAAAGUACUUGCCCAGCAUGUACAAGGUCCUGGGUUCAAUUCCCAGCACGCACA
rnacentral:tRNA from 1 species